AUUCAAUCAUGCAACACAUAAAGCUAUAUUUACAACAGCCCAUCCAUGGAAGUGAACAAUACCUAUUGUACAAGUUAAAGGGUUCUAUCACAACAAACUCGAUAAUGUCCAUUUUGGCAAAAAAACAAUUCAAGUUCCUGAUGCUAAUAAGAGAUUUAUAUUGGAAGACCUUAAACACCAUUGGUCCAAUUCUUACCCACAAUUUUGAAAAUUUCCCACCUCUAGCUUUUCACAAAGCAUGAGAAAUCUAAAUUUACAAUGGUUGAACAUCAUAAACAAAAUCCAAACAUCAUGUUGAUUUUAGUGUUUUUUUUCUGUCAGUUUUGUCCAAUUACUUGUACUAUUAAUAGAAAAUUUUAAAGUUUUAUGCUCCGCUUGCUUCAUAGAAAAUGUUUUCCUAAAAAAUAUCUUUUGCAUAUUCUGGUGUUUGGGCACUCAAAAAAUUUGAUCAACGAAAA
rnacentral:misc_RNA from 1 species